GAUGAACGCUGGCGGCGCGCCUAACACAUGCAAGUCGAACGAUUAAAGCACCUUCGGGUGUGUAUAAAGUGGCGAACGGCUGAGUAACACGUGGGCAACCUGCCCCUCUCAUUGGGAUAGCCACGGGAAACCGUGGAUAAUACCGAAUACUUCGAGACUUCCGCAUGGAAGACUCGAGAAAGCUCCGGCGGAGAGGAAUGGGCCCGCGGCCUGUUAGCUUGUUGGUGGGGUAACGGCCUACCAAGGCAAUGAUGGGUAGCUGGGUUGAGAGACCGACCAGCCAGAUUGGGACUGAGACACGGCCCAGACUCCUACGGGAGGCAGCAGUGGGGAAUCUUGCACAAUGGGCGAAAGCCUGAUGCAGCGACGCCGCGUGCGGGAUGAAGGCCUUCGGGUUGUAAACCGCUUUCAGCAGGGACGAGGCGAAAGUGACGGUACCUGCAGAAGAAGCCCCGGCUAACUACGUGCCAGCAGCCGCGGUAAUACGUAGGGGGCAAGCGUUAUCCGGAUUCAUUGGGCGUAAAGCGCUCGUAGGCGGUCUGUUAGGUCGGGAGUUAAAUCCGGGGGCUCAACCCCCGUUCGCUCCCGAUACCGGCAGACUUGAGUUUGGUAGGGGAAGGUGGAAUUCCUAGUGUAGCGGUGGAAUGCGCAGAUAUUAGGAAGAACACCAGUGGCGAAGGCGGCCUUCUGGGCCAUAACUGACGCUGAGGAGCGAAAGCUAGGGGAGCAAACAGG
rnacentral:rRNA from 1 species